GGGCGCUCUUUGGGUAGAAUCUUUGAGUUUCGUCGAAAUGUGUCCGCAUCCCUUUUUGACGCUUUUUAGGAAAAGGAUUAGAGACCCUUGUACUGAGUGUGACACUUUGUGGCCAUGGUGGGAACUAAAAGGAUUUGGCAGCUGAUGAGGUUCUUCCGGGGGAGUGUGUGGCAUAAGAGAUAGUCCACUUAGGAUCCUGCCAUCAUUAUCAGUUAGUGUACGUCCGGUUUAAGAUUCGUGAUUUGUGUCAAGGAGUGUCAUGGUUUGAUUUAAUCCAGGUC
rnacentral:rRNA from 1 species